UUAUAUUUCCUUAAAAGUAGGAAUUUCUACCAUAGUCGAUGAAUAUCAUGAGGUAAGGAAAAAAAACAAUUUAUGAGGUAAAGAGAAAGAAAAAUUGAUAUAUGAUCAAUUACUGCAACUUUCCAGAAAUUCAAUGAUAACCUCAUAAACAAGGAUUGACUGGCGGGCCCAUGAUCCCGAGUUGCGAAGGCUGCGAUUGUUCCUAAGUUUUGGCCCCAGACAGAUUUUUCUGUCAUAAAAUAAAAUUUUUAAAAAAACUACUUGCCAGCUCUCCAUUUCUAUUUGCCUGCGUUAGCCUUAACUCAUCUGACUCGAGGGGGUGUAAAUGACAAAUUAGAGAUGUGGAGGCAAACUCUUGAGUCUAAAGGGUUCAGGGUGAGCAGAAGCAAGACAGAGUAUGUGGAAUGUAAGUUUAAUGACGUGAGGCGGGAGAACGAGGUAGUAGUGAAGCUGGAAGCACAGGAGGUAUGUAAGAGGGAUAAGUGUAAGUAUCUCGGGUCCGUGAUCCAGAGUAACGGUGAGAUUGACGAGGAUGUCUUGCACCGUAUUGGGGCGGGAUGGAUGAAGUGGAAACUCGCGUCGGGGGUGCUGUGUGAUAAGAAGGUGCCGCCCAAGCUUAAAGGCAAAUUCUAUAGGGUGGUAGUCCGUCCGGCCUUGCUGUAUGGAGCGGAGUGUUGGCCAGUUAAGAACUCCCACAUCCAAAAAAUGAAGGUGGCAGAAAUGCGGAUGUUGCGCUGGAGGUGUGGACUGACUCGAGGGGAUAGAGUUCGGAAUGAGACUAUCCGGGAGAAGGUUGGUGUGACUUCAGUGGAGUGUAAGAUGCGGGAAGCACGAUUGAGAUGGUUCGGACACGUGAAGAGGAGGGGCAUGGAAUUACUUGGUGGGGUUUUUUUUAUUUUUUAUUCCCGUUAUGAUUCCGUAUUCAGUGUUCCAUGCUUAUUACGAAUCUGUGUGCUUUCCUCUGCUUUCCUCUGUUUUAUAUUCCUUAUGGGUGCCGUAUUUAUGUUAUGUCAUCUGCUUCUGUGCUUUACUAUGUGUUUGUGUGAUAUCUUGUGCCUUGAGCCGGGGGUCUUUCGGAAACAGCCUUUCUACUUCAUCAGAGGUAGAGGUAUGGACUGCGUACAUCUUACCCCCCCCAGACCCCACUAAGUGGGAAUACACUGGGUUUGUUGUUGUUGUUGUUGUUGUAGCCUUAACUCAUCUGUGAAUUUGAAAGAGCUGGGGGUCCUGUCCUCGUAUAGUGACAUUUUUUAAGUGAACCUGAAUUUAAACUAUUGGUUAUACACAGUUACACACCUUUGACUAUUGAUGUAAUACAAAGUGCUGUGAUAAACUUGAAAACUAGCUAACUCAUCUGUGAAUUUGAAAGAGCUGGGGGUCCUGUCCUCGUAUAGUGACAUUUUUUAAGUGAACCUGAAUUUAAACUAUUGGUUAUACACAGUUACACACCUUUGACUAUUGAUGUAAUACAAAGUGCUGUGAUAAACUUGAAAACUAACCACCAGACUACAACAACAACAACAUACCCAUAUAGUCCCACAAACUAACCACCAAACUAAUCUGAAAAUUAUUGAAUGAAAAAACAAACAAACAGUGGAAGCUACAGUUUAAUGCUUCAAAGAUUUUGUUGAUUUCGCCUUCCACUUUCACUUGUUUGAUGGAAAUAGUAGAAUAUAAUACUUCUUUUCAUAAUUUAACUGGACUACAAAUCACGAUAUAUCUACGAGAGUUACGCGUUCAAACCAUAAGGCAAU
rnacentral:lncRNA from 1 species